CUGAUGCCCCAGCUCUCACGUCCUAUGAUCCUCUUCUUUGCAGAGUUAGAAACAUGAAACUUCUCUGAAUGUAUAUCCCUGUUAUAUUCCGUUUAGAGUUUCCAGUCAGCAUUGGCUGGUUAGCCCCUAAAUAAAUUGCAUGGCAUUCACGGCAUAGGUGGUCGUCUCAAAACAACCUGGCAGCAGAACUGAACGCCUGUGAGCAAAGAUGGCGGAUCUCAAUGGGGGGCAUCCUGCGUCAGCCAAGCAACUGCCACUGAGAUGAAAUGUAAAUGCUAAUUGGUGGCUUUCAUCAGAUGUCAUCUCAGAGUUUUAUUUGGGGAUCUGAGAAGCCCAGCUUGUCAAAACUGGUGUCUGGCCCGUGGGGAACGGAUGGCUCAUCUCCAGUAUGUGCUCCCAGCUGAAAGCAGUCAACAAGCUCUGCUGUAACUGAGCCAAUUUUUCAAAGCGUUCCGCUGAUGUGAUUGGUAUCGUCCUCGGGCUGGAUGGGUCCACUCUCAGUGACGGGGGAGGGAAGGUUAUAGAGGACUGUUGGCAGAUGCCUUUUGUCUUGCAGGCAGCCCAUGCAGAGCAGCAAAUAAGUUCACCGGCAUGAAUAAGGGU
ensembl:lncRNA